rnacentral:rRNA from 1 species
GAUGAACGCUAGCUACAGGCUUAACACAUGCAAGUCGAGGGGAAACGGCAUUAAGUGCUUGCACUUUUUGGACGUCGACCGGCGCACGGGUGAGUAACGCGUAUCCAACCUUCCCAUGACUAAGGGAUAACCUGCCGAAAGGCAGGCUAAUACCUUAUGGUCUUCACUGACGGCAUCAGAUGUGAAGUAAAGAUUUAUCGGUUAUGGAUGGGGAUGCGUCUGAUUAGCUUGUUGGCGGGGUAACGGCCCACCAAGGCAACGAUCAGUAGGGGUUCUGAGAGGAAGGUCCCCCACAUUGGAACUGAGACACGGUCCAAACUCCUACGGGAGGCAGCAGUGAGGAAUAUUGGUCAAUGGGCGAGAGCCUGAACCAGCCAAGUAGCGUGCAGGAUGACGGCCCUAUGGGUUGUAAACUGCUUUUGUAUGGGGAUAAAGUCAAUCACGUGUGAUUGUUUGCAGGUACCAUACGAAUAAGGACCGGCUAAUUCCGUG